GAGGGUAUAGCUCAGUAGUAGAGUGACUGCUUAGCAUGUAUCAGGUCCUGGGUUCAACCCCCAGUACCUCCA
rnacentral:tRNA from 1 species